CCUACGGGUGGCAGCAGUAGGGAAUCUUUCACAAUGGGCGAAAGCCUGAUGGAGCAACGCCGCGUGCAGGAUGAAGGCUUUCGGGUUGUAAACUUCUUUUCUCAGGGACGAAGCAAGUGACGGUACCUGAGGAAUAAGCCACGGCUAACUACGUGCCAGCAGCCGCGGUAAUACGUAGGUGGCAAGCGUUAUCCGGAUUUACUGGGUGUAAAGGGCGUGUAGGCGGGAAAGCAAGUCAGAUGUGAAAACCAUGGGCUCAACCUGUGGCCUGCAUUUGAAACUGUUUUUCUUGAGUACUGGAGAGGCAGACGGAAUUCCUAGUGUAGCGGUGAAAUGCGUAGAUAUUAGGAGGAACACCAGUGGCGAAGGCGGUCUGCUGGACAGCAACUGACGCUGAGGCGCGAAAGCGUGGGGAGCAAACAGGAUUAGAUACCCGGGUAGUC
rnacentral:rRNA from 1 species